UACGUAGGGUCCAAGCGUUGUCCGGAUUUAUUGGGCGUAAAGAGCUCGUAGGCGGCUCGGUAAGUCGGAUGUGAAAACUCCAGCUCAACCUGGAGACGCCAUUCGAUACUGCUGUGGCUUGAGUCUGGUAGGGGAGCACGGAAUUCCUGGUGUAGCGGUGAAAUGCGCAGAUAUCAGGAGGAACACCGGUGGCGAAGGCGGUGCUCUGGGCCAGUACUGACGCUGAGGAGCGAAAGCGUGGGGGAGCAAACAGG
rnacentral:rRNA from 1 species